AAAGCGCUUCUGCAAAGAAAAAUUAACAAAUACGAAAGAACACCACCAAGCUAAAAACUCUUAUCCAAAAAGCUCAGAGCAGCAACGCGAUUUGCACCUUCGGUUUCACGAAUCAUUGCGUUUUUUGGAUUGCAUCUUCAGAGUUCAUCCUCACGUUUCAUCGUAACAGCUCGCAUUUGUUCUUCGCAUCGCAUCAGUUCGCAUCCAACCUUAACAGUGUCGCGUUUCCAUUGGUUCACGGCAUUGCGUUUGAUAUCUUUCAUGGAUUAUGUUUUGGAUUCAAAGAGGUAUUCAACGAUUCGAAGCUUCAUGAAAUCAACAACAACUAACGAAUUGUGGAUCGAAGCGAAGACUCACCGGUUUCGACGCGAAGACAAAAACAGAGUGAGGUUCCGAAUGUUAGUAAUGGAUGUUAGUUGGAAAGUGUAAAAAAUGUUGAUUGCAAUUCUGAGGUGAUUUGUUUGAAUUCUGGUUAUUCUGUUAUGAACUUCAGUCUACAAGCUGUUAAUUGGUUUACAAAUGUUAUAAUUUAUUGAAUGGAUAUUAAAACAUGGGAUUAUGUAUAGAUGAGUUUGACAUGUGAUUAGAAUAUAUACUGAAACUUGAACUAGUCAUGGCAGUGCUUAAUGUUGUAGACACUGCUGCUGAAGGCAAAGCUGUAGACGGGACAGAUGAUGAUGUCGAAGAAACCGAUGGUGAGGCAUAUUGUAACUGGCUGUGAUAUAAAUUUGAUCGGAAAAAAUGAAGUGUUCUUCAU